CUAUUUCCUCCCUCAUCUCUACUAGAGCUUUGCUGCCAGUGGAAAGAGCUGCAGCUGCUACAAAGGAGAGGCAGUAAUGCUAAUGGGUUUAUUCUGUGAACUAAAGUCUGAGGGUCUCCUUCUGUGACUCGAUUGUGAAGAAGACCAGUCUGACUUGAGAGGCAGAACACUUGAGCAAAACAAUGUGCUGUGGGACUCAAGAGCAGCUGGAGGAAGGAGCUACCUCUGAUGGGCUACCUGGUUGAUGAUUACAGAUCCAUUGCUCACUGUUGAUCUUGUUUUCCCGAGGGAUGACUCUUUACCAGACUACUAUCACUUCAGCUGAAGACUUUCUCUGAAUUUGCUUUUCUAAAGACGAUAGCAAGAGCAUGGCUGAGAGGUACUUCAGGAAACAUAUUUUGUUCUAACUUUGAAUGCCUGUGUCAAAAGAUGAUCAUCCAAAUGCAAAGAACAUUGCAACGAUGUCUCUGACAGGAAGAGCAGGAAAAGCAGUCUCUGUUUGAAGAAGGAGAAUCAAAAUUUAUCUCCUGGUACAAUUCCACUGAAGUCAGCAGAGGUACUGCAAGCUUGACUGUCUGGAAAUUUCUUCUUCCAGAAUCUUCAGCCCCGAGGAAAUAUUUCUCAAUGGUGAGGAACCCUUUCUUUAAAAAACUGCCUUCAAAAGCCCAGAGCUCAUGGGGCUGCUGGACCUCCUUCUGCACCAUUCCUAAAGCGUGAAACAUCUAAUCGUCGAAGUGCCUAAAACUCACAGAAGUCCUUAUCUUUGAUAUAGGAAGCCUGAGAAACCACUGCCUUUGGGUCCUGAUUUUCCCCUAGGAACAAGGAACUCCAAAUGUCUCAUCGCAGAUCUUUUGUUAAAGCUUUAAAAUGUGUUUGGAUUUGUCCUUUAAAACUCCAGAUCAGUCUAAUUAAAGCAAAAUGAAUCCUCUUUAUUGAUUCCAGAAAGAUUUAGCUUAACAGCCCUGUCUCUAGAAAGAAGAUAACACAACAUAUUAGGACGUCUUUGCUUUUCCGUGCAGUCGUAUCAUGCUAGACAAAAUAAAAGUUAACUUCUUGUAACCAGCAUCACCCAUCUCCAAAACCAGACUAUCAUUCAUUUUACUAUUCCAGAUGCCUCAAUGUUGUCUUAGAAUGCUGUGACAAUU